rnacentral:rRNA from 1 species
AUUGAACGCUGGCGGCAGGCUUAACACAUGCCGGUCGAGCGGGGUGAUGGUGCUUGCACUAUCACUUAGCGGCGGACGGGUGAGUAAUGCUUAGGAAUCUGCCUAUUAGUGGGGGACAACAUCUCGAAAGGGAUGCUAAUACCGCAUCCGUCCUACGGGAGAAAGCAGGGGAUCACUUGUGACCUUGCGCUAAUAGAUGAGCCUAAGUCGGAUUAGCCAGUUGGUGGGGUAAAGGCCUACCAAGGCGACGAUCUGUAGCGGGUCUGGGAGGCGGAUCCGCCACACUGGGACUGGGACCCGGCCCAGACUCCUACGGGAGGCAGCAGUGGGGAAUAUUGGACAAUGGGGGGAAGCCUGAGCCAGCCAUGCCGCGUGUGUGAAGAAGGCCCUAUGGUUGUAAAGCACUUUAAGCGAGGAGGAGGCUCUUUUGGUUAAUACCCAAGAUGAGUGGACGUUACUCGCAGAAUAAGCACCGGCUAACUCUGUGCCAGCAGCCGCAGUAA